rnacentral:rRNA from 1 species
UACGUAGGGGGCUAGCGUUGUCCGGAUUCAUUGGGCGUAAAGGGUGCGUAGGCGGCGCGGUAAGUCGGAUGUGAAAUCUCGGAGCUUAACUCCGAAACUGCAUUCGAUACUGCCGUGCUUGAGGACUGGAGAGGAGACUGGAAUUUACGGUGUAGCGGUGAAAUGCGUAGAUAUCGUAAGGAAGACCAGUGGCGAAGGCGGGUCUCUGGACAGUUCCUGACGCUGAGGCACGAAGGUCAGGGGAGCAAACGGG